AUUGAACGCUAGCGGGAUGCUUUACACAUGCCAGUCGAACGGCAGCGCGGACUUCGGUCUGGCGGCGAGUGGCGAACGGGUGAGUAAUGUAUCGGAACGUGCCCAGUAGCGGGGGAUAACUACGCGAAAGCGUAGCUAAUACCGCAUACGCCCUACGGGGGAAAGCAGGGGAUCGUAAGACCUUGCACUAUUGGAGCGGCCGAUAUCGGAUUAGCUAGUUGGUGAGGUAACGGCUCACCAAGGCGACGAUCCGUAGCUGGUUUGAGAGGACGACCAGCCACACUGGGACUAAGACACGGCCCAGACUCCUACGGGAGGCAGCAGUGGGGAAUUUUGGACAAUGGGGGCAACCCUGAUCCAGCCAUCCCGCGUGUGCGAUGAAGGCCUUCGGGUUGUAAAGCACUUUUGGCAGGAAAGAAACGUCGCGGGCUAAUACCCCGUGGAACUGACGGUACCUGCAGAAUAAGCACCGGCUAACUACGUG
rnacentral:rRNA from 1 species